GACGAACGCUGGCGGCGUGCUUAACACAUGCAAGUCGAACGGUGACGAGGAGCUUGCUCCUCCGAUCAGUGGCGAACGGGUGAGUAACACGUGAGCAACCUGCCCCAGACUCUGGGGUAACAGUUGGAAACAGCUGCUAAUACCGGAUACGAGACGGAGAGGCAUCUCUACCGUCUGGAAAGUUUUUCGGUCUGGGAUGGACUCGCGGCCUAUCAGCUAGUUGGUGAGGUAAUGGCUCACCAAGGCGACGACGGGUAGCCGGCCUGAGAGGGCGACCGGCCACACUGGGACUGAGACACGGCCCAGACUCCUACGGGAGGCAGCAGUGGGGAAUUUUGGACAAUGGGGGAAACCCUGAUCCAGCAAUGCCGCGUGCAGGAUGAAGGCCUUCGGGUCGUAAACUUCUUUAGAGGGAGACGAGAAAGGACGGUAUCCCUAGAAUAAGCGACGGCUAACUCCGUG
rnacentral:rRNA from 1 species